GUAUUUAUAUGGUAAAUAAUAUUUGUAUUCUAAGCUCUUUAUGUUAAGGAGUAAAUAAUUUUUAAUAGAAGGUAUAUUUAUUAGUUUUGUUUUCCAAAAAUAGGUUUAGAGUUAGUACUGGCGAAACUUGUGCCAGCCGCCGCGGUUAUACAGGUGGUGCAAGGAUAUAUUGUUGAGGGAGAAAAAGAUUUUUUUUGGAUUGUUACAUUUAGGUGAAAUUUAUGUAUAAGUUUGGGAUUUUGAUUUUAAGAAGUUUUUGGGUUAAAUUAGGAUUAGAUACCCUAUUAUUCAUUUAUUUGAGGUUGGUAGUAUUUUAUAGGUUUAUAAAUCAAAAGGUUAUGGCGGUAUUUUAAGCUAUUUAGAGGAAUUUAUUCUUUAAUGGAUAUGGCUCAGGGAUCUUACUUAGGUUGGUAAGGCGGUUUGUAUAUCGCUAUCAUGUAAUAAUAUUGAUUGAUUUAUGAUUGAGAUGGUGUUUAGCAAAAAUGUUAGGUCAAAAUGCAGCAAAAAUUUAAGGUUGAAAUGAAUUACUUUUAUUGAUAUAUGUUAUUUUGAAAAUUGGAUUGAGGAUUUAAUAGUAAAUUGAAAUUAUAAUGUUUGAUUGAAUUUAGCUCUGAGAUAUGCACAUAUCGCCCGUCACUCUCAGCGAUGAGAUAAGUCGUAACAAAGUAAGGGUACCGGAAGGUGUCUU
rnacentral:ncRNA from 1 species